ACAACUACUUUCUCAGCUGUUCUGGGCCUCCAGAUUGCAGAUGUGGUCAGCUUUCACACACAAGCCAAUGACUCCUAAACAUCCUCUUCCUGCACAUCUGAAAGGAAGAGGGAUGGAGGAAAGAAGAAAUAACAGCACACGUGUUGCCUUCAUCUUGUUCUCCACUGGCUUCUCAAGACUCAAUCUGCCAUUCUUCAUGAACCUGGAUACAGCUGUGGAUUUAGAUAACUCUGUCUCUUCCUCUCCUGACCUUUAUUAUGGCUGCGGAAAUCUCUGCUUAGAUGUAUCCUUGCAUCUCCAUGGCAACCCAGGAGCUUCAUCAGUUUCAUUGAAUCCUUGCUUGGGGAGAUCUUGAGGUACCAGAUGGGCUAGUGGGGUGCCAUCUCCUGAGUGUUCCAGAACCUUCCAAAACAGCAUCACAACGAUGGGGGACCUGGGGCAGUGUGCACCAACCUGUAAAGGGAUGCUGUAGACUUACAAGGCAGAAAGAGCUGACAAGAGGGUCACCCUGAUCCCAGAGGCACGAGCGACCUCUGGUGGUGAUGGUGCAAAGAGCCUUGAUACUCAAAAGCUGGAGCGACUGGGAGGAGGUCCUUGGACCUGCAUUGAGGAUGAGAAGAAGAAAACUCAAUUAAGGUCAACAGUGAAGGAGAUCCUGGGAUUUGUGCUAAUUAGGGCACAGUCUUGGAGUGCUUCAUUUAAAAGUAACAAGAACGUAGGGCUAUGAUGACAUCUUUAAUUAAUAAAAUGGUUCAUACCAGU
rnacentral:lncRNA from 1 species